UUUUUUAAAUUAAUUGUUUAUGAUUUCUCGAGUUUUCAAAAAAUCGUUUAUUCAUUCCCGUUCUUUCGCGGAUCUUCAAGCAAGUUUUUCAAAAAAAAGCGAGAUAUUUGGUGAAUUCUAUUGCAAUCGGAGAAUUGUGAAACGUAGAAUCGAUCAUCGUGUCCAUGUGCUUGAAGAAAAGUCCGUGCUCCGUGAUUAAUCCAUUACGGAUUUUUCGGAGUAAAUACGACGCGAGCGUAAAACGUAUUUGAAUUUAGUAACGUAUACGAAUAUUUGUGUAUAAAUACUAUUCGCCCUUUCCCGAAACCGAUUUGCUCUCCGGGUUGAUUUCGUACGAAAAGAAAACGAGAGAGAUGUGAACGCCGAUGUGAAUUAACGAGACGGUUUUCAUCAGUUUUGAGGGGUUUGGAAAGAUCGUGCGACAACGGGGGCCAGUUAAGCCAGGAGCAGAGUUCGGGCCGAGAGACCGGACCGAACACGAGAGGCGUCGGUGACAGGCCUGCCGGAUACGUCGCGCAACGAGAUAUGGAUUGGUCCCUGAAAGCACGCCGAACAGUGGACCGUUUCGUAGCGAACAGAAAUGAGGACACGAGGCGGAUGAGUGCAUUUCCACUAACGA
rnacentral:misc_RNA from 1 species